GUUGUAUGGUUAAGUGACUAAGCGUACACGGUGGAUGCCUUGGCAGUUGGAGGCGAUGAAGGACGUACUAACUUGCGAUAAGCCUAGUUGAGCCAGUAAGAGGCGCUUGAGACUAGGAUU
rnacentral:rRNA from 1 species